rnacentral:rRNA from 1 species
AACGAACGCUGGCGGCGCGCCUAAUACAUGCAAGUCGAGCGAGAAGACGUAGCAAUACGUUUGUAAAGCGGCGAACGGGUGAGGAAUACAUGGGUAACCUACCCUCGAGUGGGGAAUAACUAGCCGAAAGGUUAGCUAAUACCGCGUACGCUCCUUGGACUUCGGUUCAGGGAGGAAAGCGAUACCGUGGGUAUCGCGCUCUUGGAUGGGCUCAUGUCCUAUCAGCUUGUUGGUGAGGUAACGGCUCACCAAGGCUUCGACGGGUAGCUGGUCUGAGAGGACGAUCAGCCACACUGGCACUGCGACACGGGCCAGACUCCGUACGGGAGGCAGCAGGUAAGGAAUAUUGCGCAAUGGGCGAAAGCC